AGAGUUUGAUCCUGGCUCAGAUUGAACGCUGGCGGCAUGCCUUACACAUGCAAGUCGAACGGCAGCACGGGAGCUUGCUCUGGUGGCGAGUGGCGAACGGGUGAGUAAUACAUCGGAACGUACCCUGAAGUGGGGAUAACGUAGCGAAAGUUACGCUAAUACCGCAUAUUCUGUGAGCAGGAAAGAGGGGGAUCGCAAGACCUCUUGCUUUAGGAGCGGCCGAUGUCGGAUUAGCUAGUUGGUGAGGUAAAGGCUCACCAAGGCGACGAUCCGUAGCGGGUCUGAGAGGAUGAUCCGCCACACUGGGACUGAGACACGGCCCAGACUCCUACGGGAGGCAGCAGUGGGGAAUUUUGGACAAUGGGCGCAAGCCUGAUCCAGCCAUGCCGCGUGAGUGAAGAAGGCCUUCGGGUUGUAAAGCUCUUUCGGUGGGGAAGAAAUUGCUUCGGUUAAUACCUGGAGUAGAUGACGGUACCCGCAUAAGAAGCACCGGCUAACUACGUG
rnacentral:rRNA from 1 species